AUCCCCUUGCAGCAGCCAUCAUACGCCGCCGCCGCCAGCCCACAACGGAGUCCCGGCCGCCGGCUCCCCGUUGCUCUUCGCCUCCUUGGAAGGUCGGAUCUUGCCACCGCCCCGAACUCGCGGUCUCUCCCCACCCCAAUAUUUCAGCUCUCCCAUAGAUCCUCUCCGAUCCGGAGUUCCACGCGUAGGGCACCAGCAUGCAGAGGCAAGGAAUGCCGCUCCUCCUCCAACCAGCCAGCCAUAGCGGCGUCGUUCCUCUGACAUGCGAAGGGGCUCUCCUCUCCCACCGGUCGGCGCCUCGACUUGGACUCCUACAGCCGGCACCUCCACUUCAGCUCACACCGGCCGGCAUCCUCCGCCGCCAAAUCUUAACCACUUCGUGUUCCUCUGGCCUUCAUGUGUAUCUCCCGUUAUAUCUCCUCUCUGUUCUGAUUUUCAGGAAGAAGGUUCAUUUUUGUGGCCCGUUUCCACUAGGUAGAUGGGAUGGCAAUGGCGGUUCCUUGGUUGAAGGAUGCAAUGCAGCUCACUAAAUUUGAAGUUGUACUAUUUUGGUCUGCCUAGAUACCCAAGCAGGGGAGAUAGGCUGCAAGUUGGGUAGAAAGCGGCAUGAUUCUCGGCAAUACUCUUUACUUGGUAUUUGAUGAUUACUCUUUACUUGGUACAACGUUCUUGAUGAUUUAAUAUAGUCUGACCCUGCUGUAGAAAGAAGCUUACAUACAUGCCUGGAUGUGUUCGAGAUGCAUUGCAGUGUGUAUUACUCUUUAGUUGGUAUAAUGUUCUAGAUGAUUUUAAUAGUCUGGCCCUGCUGUAGAAAACAGUUUACAUACAUGCCUGGAUGUGUUCGAGAUGCAUUGCAGUGUGUACUCAUAGGUGGUCGUGAAGGGCGACUAAAAGUAAUCCAUCAUCACAUCAAGUUUCUGGAAUUCUGGGGAUCGAAAUCAGAUCGAGAUGCCAAUGUCCUGUAUGUUGCUUCAGUUAUAUGGCUUGAGCUGGUCAAUCUGCAAGAUGAUGCAAAAAAUUGCUUGCAGAUAGUCUGUAUGUAUGUGUACAGACAUGCAUGUUGUAUGUUUAUAUCAAUUUUGCAAAUUGACAUUUGUUCAGAUGCUUCUAAGUAGUGGUUCAUGAAGAUUCAAAGUAAAUCUAAAUUACUUUGUGUUGCCUAUCCUAUUACUUGAUUUUUUUGCUAACUAUGUGUAUGAGUAAAUUUCCAAGAUGAUGCAAAAAAAUCGCUUGCAGAUAGUCUGUAUGUGUACACACAUGCAUGUUGUAUGUUUAUAUUAACUUUGCAAUACUGAUGUUUGUUCAGAUUCUUCUAAGCAGUAUGCUCUAGCAGAACGAUGCUUCCCUUUCCUUACUGUUGUUGCUAAAUAUUUUUUUUAUGUGGCAUAUGAGGACUGAACAGCAUCAGGCCAACGAUCUCACCCUGGGAGUCCACUUCUUUACGGUCAUGACAUCUGCCUUGACAAAUUAUCUGGAGUUGAGCUCCAGAGACGAAUGGGGAGGUGGACUUUGCUGGAGUUAUCAUGUGUUCUUGCAAUCAGAACGCAUGGGGAUUAUAAGCCAAUAUACGAUUUGUUCAUUUUCUUUUAGAGGGAAAGCCAUGGUAUUUGGAUGGCGGAAGCAGUUCUGAUAUUUGAUAUAGAUUUAAAGGACCAGGAGAACCUAAGUGGCUCAUUCCUAUACCAACAUUCCGAUAUAUACGGGGCAGUUCUUAAACGUGCAAAUGUUCAAGCCAUUAAAACACCCUCUUAGGAAAAACAUUGUAUUUUCACACUUAUGGAAAAUGAACUUUAAAUCACGAAAAAUGUUGAUUUUUUUACAAGAGAUCUUGAGGAUGAGAUAAUUUUCAGCAAAUUCAGAGGAAUAGCUUAAGUACCAGGGCGACACAUGUGUUCAUUGGUCGCAAGGAAAAAAAUCUACUUGCUGUCGGGAACCAAAGCAACAACAGAUCAAGUUACUUGGUCGGAAGAAAUUGUCAAGGGUCGCAGCUUACGCAUGAUUGGAAGUGGCGAUCUUAGUCUAUCUCACCUAAGUUACAUGAUAUAAAAAUUAGUAAAGAUGUAGAACAACCUAGAAUUUUGCGUCUCAACUAUGUGUCAUAUUUUCUUAUUAUCAUAUACUUUUUUUGAGACGGUCUUACUAUUAUACUUUGUAAUGCUUAUAAUUCACGAGUGAUAGAUUCUGAGAUGUACUACCGAUGUGACCAAGGAUGUCCAGUUU